rnacentral:rRNA from 1 species
CCAAUAGCGUAUAUUAAAGUUGCUGCAGUUAAAAAGCUCGUAGUUGAAUUUCGGGACCAAUAUGUCGGUCGUGCCUCGGUACGUACUGGCAUUUUUGGUUUCUCCCUUCUGAAGAACCUUGAUGUCAUUAAUUUGGUGUCUUGGGGAAUCAGGACCGGUACUUUGAAAAAAUUAGAGUGUUUAAAGCAGGCUCGCGCUUGAAUACAUUAGCAUGGAAUAAUGGAAUAGGACGUUUGAUUCUAUUUUGUUGGUUUCUAGGAUCGACGUAAUGAUUAAUAGGGAUAGUUGGGGGCAUUAGUAUUCAAUUGUCAGAGGUGAAAUUCUUGGAUUUAUUGAAGACUAACUACUGCGAAAGCAUUUGCCAAGGAUGUUUUCAUUAAUCAAGAACGAAAGUUAGGGGAUCGAAGACGAUCAGAUACCGUCGUAGUCUUAACCAUAAACUAUGCCGACUAGGGAUCGGAUGAUGUUAAUUUUUUAAUGACUCAUUCGGCGCCUUACG